UAAGGAAUAUUGGUCAAUGGACGAGAGUCUGAACCAGCCAAAUCGCGUGAAGGAAGACUGCCCUACGGGUUGUAAACUUCUUUUGUACAGGAAUAAAAGACAUUACGUGUAAUGUAUUGCAUGUACUGUACGAAUAAGCAUCGGCUAACUCCGUGCCAGCAGCCGCGGUAAUACGGAGGAUGCGAGCGUUAUCCGGAUUUAUUGGGUUUAAAGGGUGCGCAGGCGGGAUUUUAAGUCAGCGGUGAAAUUUUCAGGCUCAACCUGAACACUGCCGUUGNAACUGGGAUUCUUGAGUAUGGAUGAAGUAGGCGGAAUUCGUUGUGUAGCGGUGACAUGCUUAGAUAUAACGAGGAACUCCGAUUGCGUAGGCAGCUUACUAAGCCAUAACUGACGCUCAAGCACGAAAGCGUGGGGAUCAAACA
rnacentral:rRNA from 1 species